AGAAAACUUCAUACUAGUUACUAAUAAGAUAAAUCCAACAAAUCCAAUCAAAUCAAGAUCACCACUUUUAGUUUCUAUCGACACUAAAAUUACAAAGAUAAAAAAGAAUUUAAAAAGGUAAAUAUGUACUCAAUGGGCAUUAAAAAAGUAACUUACUAAUGAAUUCUCCAGUAGUAAUAACAUGACUAUCAGCCAAUUACAAUAAAAACACGAAACAAUCAGCAUUAUUCAUUUACACUAUCUAGUGCUACUUUAAAGCUAGCUUUAACUGAUGACUAAUUGCAAACUUUGCAAACUCAUGGAAACAUUAACAGUAGCAAAGACAAGGGAAAAGAAUCCAAUUAGGCAUGAACAUCAGACUCAGAUAUGUAUUAAUCAAUCCAGUAUCUACACCUUACUGGCAAGAAAAAAUUGUGCUCCGAAAAGAAUGUGCAGAGAACCACAAUGGCAGGGUGGCAUUGUUCUUCACUGAAUACAUCUCCUUCCAAACUCUGCUAUUUCUCUGAUACACCAACACUUGCUUGUGGGUUGCAAGGAAAACAUAUUCACCAGUCUUACUAAUUGGAAAAAUGCCAGGCACCAUCCCUCUAAUACAUCGUAGACUCACCCUGUCCACCAUAUGCCAUUCUUCCUUGUCAUAAUCUUCCAUCAUAAAAAUAUUCAUCCAGACCUCUGAAAUUUGAAUCACAGACAAUCGCCCAUCCGACUCCAACAAAUAAAUCCGACUCCCACUCCCAGAAUUCACUUCAUCUGGCAAUGACAUUUUCCUCCAAAUAUCAGAAUCCAAAUUCAGAACAAGCACACAAGAACAGCUCGCAGUCAACCAAUGCAACGCACCAUUAAUGAACACAACUUGAUUUCUAUUCAUGUGUGUAAAAUGAUCAUCUUGCAACGAAACAGAUUUCCUCCAUUUAUUAGAUUCCGAAUCAAAGAUCAGACAUAUAAAAGUCCUCUCAGGCCUAUGCCCAAAUGACCUAUGAUGUCCUGCCAACACAACAUUAUACUUCCCUGUCAACAAAUUGCAAGCCAAACCAACAAGAGUAGCUUCACCAUCGGGAUGAAACCUAGUAAUUGGCCUUUCCCUACUUCUCGGAAGCAACUUAUACUGUCUAGUCAUUGGAUUACAAACAUAAUAAACACCUUUAUCAGGAAUGCUAGAACAACAUAAUAAUCCAUUACAAGAAGCCCUAACUCUGACUCUGUCCUUGAUAAAAUCCAACAAAAACUCAGAUACACCCCUCAUAUUAUCAACAAGAAUUAAACUUGAUCUUGAUUCUGAUAAAGAUUCAUUGGCCUCUACAAGCACCAUAGGAUUCUUGACAGAAACCUCAUUGUACAGCCGCGUAAAGUAUCUUUCAGAGAUUAAUUUGUACCACAGUUUGCACACACAUUUAGUUCUGAAAAGGGAUUUAACGGGCAAUCUAGCGAAAAUUUGAACCAUAAUAUCAUCUGGGAAAACCCCAUAUUUUGAAUUGCAGUGAUUCAUUUUCUAUUUUCGAGAAAUGAUACGAAAAAUUGCAAAAAGAAUCAAGUAAAGCCCAAGAAAUGCUUACCCAAUUACAUGGCAUCACGAGAAACAAGGGUAUCCAUGAUACGUUGUACCAAUUUUGUUUACAAUUCUGAGAGAGAAUAUAUUCCCCGAUUGAAUUACAGAGAAAAAUGCGUUCAAGUUUGGGGAAAAUGCUAGAUUUGGAUAAAGAAAUAGAAUAGAAUAUGCCGGUAGAAAUGGACGGUUGAGAUCGGCGAUUAUAGAUGAUGGAUCUGGGCUUUGACCAAAUUUUAUUGGGCUAACGUGAAAAUUUUAGAACGGAAAUUUCAUAUAUAAAAAAUUAUGUAUGACUAAUUUCAAAAUUAAUAAACAAGAACAAUUAAAUACGGCAUCACCACCAACACUGCCAUCGUCAGCACCACUACCAACUACAAACAUCGUCACCAUUUGCAAAUCACCACGAGCUACCCCAAAAACUCCAACACCUAUUACUCCAGUUUUUCCCCUCAUUUUCCACCACCAGCAACUACGCUCACACCCACCACCAUCGUCGCCCAAAGACUAGACAACCAUCAAUCAUAAAACUAGAUUUGGUUGACAAUGGCAAAGUGACUAUAAACCAUCGCAACCAUAGAAUGACACCACCAACGCAUAAAAACUAGAUUUCCCAAAAAUCGACGAUGACCAGAGCGUAACGACGACUGCAUAAUCGUUGUUGCAGCAAUGAGUCAUGUAACAAUGAUUCUCGCUUGGUGCAUCAUUGUUGUGACUCCCAGUGGAUAAUGGGGAGGGGGAGAGAGAGGGGGGG
rnacentral:lncRNA from 1 species